UUGGGAUUUGAAUUGAUAAGGAUGAAUUUAAAAGUUGAAUUGAUGUUUAAUUGAUAAAUUAUGAUGUUUAAUCUGAGUUUAAUGGUUAGUUUUGGUGAAUUGAUCUAAAGAAAUAAUCUAGGGUUCUUGAGGAAUAAUUGGGAUUUUUGCUUGAUUGUUGUGUAAGGUGAGUUAUGAGCUUGAUUAAAGGACUUUGAUGACGAUUUGGGAGCUUGAACCAUUCGGCAUAGUUCAUCAACCAAGACUCGAAGAAGCGACUAUCGAUAAGGCUCGAGGCGAACGGAUCGAGAUGUCUUCGUGUUAUUUGAAGAAUAUGGAUAGCAAGUGGGAUAGUAUGAUAUGAUUUGAAGAGUCAAGCUUCCGAAGUUUUAAUUCUCGGAAGUCAUUUGCACGUGAAGUAAAAGAAGGUUUUCAUUCUAGCGGUCCGCAGUAGUCUAGAUGUUUUUGUCUAUGUAUUUGUAUAACGCAUCUUAACUCUGAUGUUUUUGUAAAAUGGGGUCACAUGUAUUUUGAUAUAUGAAACAUGAUUUGAUUUGCGAAAAA